rnacentral:rRNA from 1 species
AACGAACGCUGGCGGCAGGCCUAACACAUGCAAGUCGAGCGCCCCGCAAGGGGAGCGGCGGACGGGUGAGUAACGCGUGGGAACGUACCCUUUGCUACGGAAUAGCCUCGGGAAACUGGGAGUAAUACCGUAUGUGCCCUUUGGGGGAAAGAUUUAUCGGCAAAGGAUCGGCCCGCGUUUGGAUUAGGUAGUUGGUGGGGUAAUGGCCUACCAAGCCGACGAUCCAUAGCUGGUUUGAGAGGAUGAUCAGCCACACUGGGACUGAGACACGGCCCAGACUCCUACGGGAGGCAGCAGUGGGGAAUCUUAGGACAAUGGGGCGACCAA